UUGAACAUGUCACAAUCUGAAGCUAAUUGAUCACCCUUUCUCUUUCAUCCGUUUUACUGUCCAGCUCUCUGAUCUCCCUUCCUUUUUUAUUGUUGCUAGGCUAGGAAAGCUAUGUUUGGCUGUUCUGAGGGUAGGAGGUGAUAUUGGGGAAGAAUGGUGUGGUGAAUGUUUUGGAAUUGGGUCCUCUCUCAAGACUUUGAGAAGGAAGGAUUUGAAUUAUUGAAGCCUGGCAUUGGAACCAUUCUUAUACCCAUCUAAAUUUUGCUCGUGUUGGUGUUGUAUUUUUAUUGCUGCUGUUUUUAUUGUCUUAAUGUUGUAUUUUUAUCGGAGUAGGACGAAAGUUGUUCUUA